AGAGUUUGAUCCUGGCUCAGAUUGAACGCUGGCGGCAGGCCUAACACAUGCAAGUCGAGCGGAUGAGGGGUGCUUGCACCCCGAUUCAGCGGCGGACGGGUGAGUAAUGCCUAGGAAUCUGCCCGAUAGUGGGGGACAACGUUUCGAAAGGAACGCUAAUACCGCAUACGUCCUACGGGAGAAAGUGGGGGCUCUUCGGACCUCACGCUAUCGGAUGAGCCUAGGUCGGAUUAGCUAGUUGGUGGGGUAAAGGCCCACCAAGGCGACGAUCCGUAACUGGUCUGAGAGGAUGAUCAGUCACACUGGAACUGAGACACGGUCCAGACUCCUACGGGAGGCAGCAGUGGGGAAUAUUGGACAAUGGGCGAAAGCCUGAUCCAGCCAUGCCGCGUGUGUGAAGAAGGUCUUCGGAUUGUAAAGCACUUUAAGUCGGGAGGAAGGGCUGUAGGUUAAUACCCUGCGGUUUUGACGUUACCGACAGAAUAAGCACCGGCUAACUUCGUGCCAGCAGCCGCGGUAAUACGAAGGGUGCAAGCGUUAAUCGGAAUUACUGGGCGUAAAGCGCGCGUAGGUGGUUUGGUAAGUUGGAUGUGAAAGCCCCGGGCUCAACCUGGGAACUGCAUCCAAAACUGCCUGACUAGAGUACGGUAGAGGGUGGUGGAAUUUCCUGUGUAGCGGUGAAAUGCGUAGAUAUAGGAAGGAACACCAGUGGCGAAGGCGACCACCUGGACUGAUACUGACACUGAGGUGCGAAAGCGUGGGGAGCAAACAGGAUUAGAUACCCUGGUAGUCCACGCCGUAAACGAUGUCGACUAGCCGUUGGGCUCCUUGAGAGCUUAGUGGCGCAGCUAACGCAUUAAGUCGACCGCCUGGGGAGUACGGCCGCAAGGUUAAAACUCAAAUGAAUUGACGG
rnacentral:rRNA from 1 species